UAUAUUUGCGCCGCUGAAUAGCAUACAUAAAAAUCAUUUAAAACAAUAUUGGCAUG
rnacentral:ncRNA from 1 species